UACGUAGGGAGCAAGCGUUGUCCGGAAUCAUUGGGCGUAAAGCGCGCGUAGGUGGCCUCGUAAGUCCGCUGUGAAAGUCCAAGGCUCAACCUUGGAAAGCCGGUGGAUACUGUGAGGCUAGAGUACGGAAGAGGCGAGUGGAAUUCCUGGUGUAGCGGUGGAAUGCGCAGAGAUGUGGAGGAACACCAGUGGCGAAGGCGGCUCUCUGGUCUGUAACUGACGCUGAGGCGCGAAAGCGUGGGGAGCGAACAGG
rnacentral:rRNA from 1 species